UGAGAGAAGGAAAGGGAAAUAAAUAAAGAGAGAGAGGGACUGACUGUAUCUGGUCGAUCUUUCGGACUAUCUAUCUACUGCUUUCUUUUCUUUCUUUCUUUCUUUCUUUG
rnacentral:ribozyme from 1 species